GAAUGAAAUAAUGUUUUAUUUAAUUGGUUUAUUCAUUUAAAGAGAUUCCUUUAAUUGAAAUAGAGAAAAGGAAAAAUAAAACCAGGUUCUAAGCACUCCAGGGCGAAACCGGUAGAUCAUUUUUUAAAUGAAUACCCCAAAUUAAGAAUUUAAUUUAAAAAAUGAUUUAUUUCUCUCCCUCCACGUAUGUAGUAUGUGAAAGGCAAGAGAGACCCUUUGAACUAGGGAAAAGUUAUCUUUUGAAAUGACUUCAGUGAUCUGACUCGAUCUGUAUUUCAACCGCUUUAACUUCACACCAUCCGCACUGGGCGAUGAAGACGCACAGAUUCAGGUCAAAUUCACCCUCCUGAAAAACUGCAAAUUAAGAUGCUGUUGAUUACGCACCGCAGGCUGUUUUAAUCGUCGUGAUCAAAAUCCAAAGAUUCAGGAAAGGGGCCCAGAAGGGAUACGUUUGGGCUUUUGACAGACCCUCGACCAAACCCUGACGCCCAGCCUUCGCGUUUCCACAUCUUUUUCCAGGCAAGAGGCUCCACCAGCCCGCGUGGGGGUCGCAGUGUUUCUCAAGAGUGGCUAGACAUCCCCCAUCCCCCAAACCCAGACACACCCCGACCCCCGCGAAUGGUUCCGGGCUGUCAAAACACGCGGCGGCGUGUUCAGUCCCAAUAACUCGCGUGAUGAUUAAUGAGCAGCUUGAUAAUUUAAUAUCGCGUGUGAUUAAAUUAUAAGGCGUGGGGGAGGGGAGCUCCGCGCCGCCUCGGCAGCCCAGCCGACGCCGACGAGCCAGCAGGUCCCGGCUGUGCGCCGAGCCUGCUCUUCCCGUGCACAGUGCCCGGCGAGGCUCGGCGAGCGGCGGGUCCGCGCCUUCCUAAGGUCGACAGCCCAGAAGUGCUACGUAGUAAGUACUCCCAGGAGCGACCCCCAACCAGCGAAGGACCGGAGAUGGUGGACCCAAGCUUGCUUGACCAUGGUGGGGCAGCCAGGCAUGACUCUACCCAGCCCCAGGUUGCCCUGUGAUAACCUGUUCAUCAACACAGUUUCUGUUAGCUUUUCACCCUUCCCUUCCUCCCUUCCCUGUUCCC
rnacentral:lncRNA from 1 species